AGGGAUAUAGCUCAGUGGCAGAGCACAUACCUAGCAUGUACAAGGCCCUGGGUUCAAUUUCCAGCAUUGCCA
rnacentral:tRNA from 1 species